UCAUCCUCAUCCUCAAAUAACAACAUAUCCAUUUUUGCAUAAAUUCUCUGAACCACAUCCCCAAGACUCUGACAAUACCUGUUUUUUAUGAUCUUUCCCAUAUAUUUUUCAAGGCUCCAAUCACCAAAAAAGCCUCCCUGCAGAUGGCACUGAAUGGUCUCUAAAAGCAAGCAAAUUUGCUUCACAAACUUUUGUUUUGUAGACUCCCCAAAACUUGCUCCAACCUCUGAUUGGAG
rnacentral:misc_RNA from 1 species